rnacentral:rRNA from 1 species
GACGAACGCUGGCGGCGUGCCUAAUACAUGCAAGUCGAGCGGACGCAUCGAAAGGUUUCUUUUUAUUCGUUAGCGGCGCACGGGUGAGUAACACGUGGGCAACCCGCCCUGUAGACGGGGAUAAAACCGAGAAAUCGGUGCUAAUAACGGAUAACACGAAAUAUAGCAUGACGUUUCGUUUAAAGACGGCGCAAGCUGCCGCUACAGGAUGUGGCCGCGGCGCAUUAGCUAGUUGGUGAGGUAACGGCUCACCAAGGCGACGAUACGUAGCCGACCUGAGAGGGUGAUCGGCCACACUGGGACUGAGACACGGCCCAGACUCCUACGGGAGGCAGCAGUAGGGAAUCUUCCGCAAUGGACGCAAGUCUGACGGAGCAACGCCGCGUGAGCGAAGAAGGCCUUCGGGUCGUAAAGCUCUGUUGUUAGGGAAGAACAAGUAACGCAGUAACUGGCGUUACCGUGACGGUACCUAACGAGAAAGCCACGGCUAACUACGUG